AACGCUAGCUACAGGCUUAACACAUGCAAGUCGAGGGGCAGCGGGAUUGAAGCUUGCUUCAAUUGCCGGCGACCGGCGCACGGGUGAGUAACGCGUAUCCAACCUUCCGUACACUCAGGGAUAGCCUUUCGAAAGAAAGAUUAAUACCUGAUAGUAUGAUGAGAUUGCAUGGUAUCAUCAUUAAAGAUUUAUCGGUGUACGAUGGGGAUGCGUUCCAUUAGGUAGUAGGCGGGGUAACGGCCCACCUAGCCAACGAUGGAUAGGGGUUCUGAGAGGAAGGUCCCCCACAUUGGAACUGAGACACGGUCCAAACUCCUACGGGAGGCAGCAGUGAGGAAUAUUGGUCAAUGGACGAGAGUCUGAACCAGCCAAGUAGCGUGAAGGAUGAAGGUCCUACGGAUUGUAAACUUCUCUUAUAAGGGAAUAAACCCUCCCACGUGUGGGAGCUUGUAUGUACCUUAUGAAUAAGCAUCGGCUAACUCCGUGCCAGCAGCCGCGGUAAUACGGAGGAUGCGAGCGUUAUCCGGAUUUAUUGGGUUUAAAGGGAGCGCAGACGGGUCGUUAAGUCAGCUGUGAAAGUUUGGGGCUCAACCUUAAAAUUGCGGUUGAUACUGGCGUCCUUGAGUGCGGUUGAGGUGUGCGGAAUUCGUGGUGUAGCGGUGAAAUGCUUAGAUAUCACGAAGAACUCCGAUUG
rnacentral:rRNA from 1 species